rnacentral:rRNA from 1 species
UACGUAGGGUGCGAGCGUUGUCCGGAAUUAUUGGGCGUAAAGAGCUUGUAGGCGGUUUGUCGCGUCUGCCGUGAAAAUUCGAGGCUCAACCUCGAACUUGCGGUGGGUACGGGCAGACUAGAGUGUGGUAGGGGAGACUGGAAUUCCUGGUGUAGCGGUGAAAUGCGCAGAUAUCAGGAGGAACACCGAUGGCGAAGGCAGGUCUCUGGGCCACUACUGACGCUGAGAAGCGAAAGUGUGGGGAGCGAACAGG